ACUGGGGCCCGAUCCUAGGGAAUGGAAAGACUUGGAAGUCAAACUGGAAGAAGAGACGGGCCUCGGGUGUCGGGAGCUAGGGGCUGUAAAAGGGAAGAGUCGGGAGGGGAGACUGCGGGAAGGGCCCUGGCCAAAGGGGCAGUGGCAGGAGAGCCUCUAGGAAGCUCCUCAAGUCUCGUCUGAGGCUUUUGGAUACGGGUCGCGGCACAGGGAGAACGCACGCAGCUCUGUACUCUCUUGAAUUGUCCUCCUCUACUUAUUCUGUAAUUCCCAAUUAUUUUGUCCUAUAGAUGGAAGAGACCCUCUCCACCAGAGCUCUCAAUUUUAACUAAUUUGCCCACAGUUUUCCAAAAAAUCUCAGUCACGGUAUUUGCUCGACUGUUUUUUAGCACAUGCUUAUAUAAAUAUGUAGUUUUACCACGCGCUUAUAUAAACAUAUAGUACCGAAAUGUGAUACAGCUGUACAAGAAGGAAAUGGGAAAGACGUGGGAAGGGAAACAAUAUUCUGCCCGCAGAAAGUAAAAUACGUAAGCGACAGAGGAAUGGUGAAGGGCGAGGCCAAUGCAAGGUCACAUAUUAAAGGGAGAAUAAAUGUGAUAUAGAAGUGAAAAGAGUAAGAGGAAAUUAGAAGCAUGAUGCCUAGGCAGCGUGUUCAAAGACUGACCUCCCCACCCUCCCCCCCCACAAAAAAAGAAAAAAGACUGGCAAAGAAUUAGAUCAUCUUUCUUGCUGACAAGUAUCAUCUAGGAAUCACUCUACCUCGCUGGCAAUUUUGAGAAAAUAGUUAUUUUUGUGCUGAACUUUCAUCUGGUUAAGGGUCAUUCCUUCAGUAUUCAACUAAUAUUUACUCUCCUAUAUCCUCACCCACCCCAUGGAAAGAAUAUAUGUCACUUCAUCAACAAAAGGCUUGGCCAUGUGACUUUCUUUAGCCAAUGGAAUGUCAGUAGAUGUAAUUUACCACAUCCUUGCAGAAGUUUUAGAUGUGCCUGCAUGAAUUGGCUUGGUCUCUUGAGCUUCUGAUCUCUACCAAAAGAAGCGCUUUCCUCAGGCAGUCCAGGACUGCAAAAACACAUACAGCCCAGCAAAGCUGUAGCCAACGCA